rnacentral:lncRNA from 1 species
AUUUGGAUGCCAGUUUGAGAGCAUUGGGAGGCUGCAGAGGGUUUCUAAAACAGAGGGAGCUACACGGUCUGUUUGCUUUAUGUUUCCCAGGAACACCAACCUGUUUGAGGAGAGCAGCUGGGAAAGGCCAGGAGAGGAAGCGAAGAACCUAGCCAAGGAGCUGAUUCAGGGAUCCUAAAUGCUGCCGAGGGGUGAGUGGAGAGACGCUGGGCAGGUGGUAGAAGUGUACGGGUUUAAUAUGUCAUCUAGAGAGGCUGGGGCAAUAGCACAAUUGGUGGAGAGCUUUCCUAGCAUGCACAAAUCCCUGGACUCUAUUUCCAGCACCACAUAAAACAGGCAUAGCAGCACAUAUUGUAAACCUGGAAUUUAGGCCUAGACAGAAAAGCAGAGAAGUUCAAAGGCAUUCUCAUCUACAUAGACGUUCAGUGCCAGGCUGGGAUACAUGAGAAUCAAGGAAGAAAGAAAGAAAGAAAGAAAGAAAGAAAGAAAGAAAGAAAGAAAGAAAGAAAGAAAGAAAGAAAGAAAGAAAGAAAGAAAGGGAAGGAAGGAAGGAAGGAAGGAAGGAAGGAAGGAAGGAAGGAAGUUGUUGUUGUUUGGUUUGAUUGGUUUGGUGCCAAUGCUGGUGCUGGUGCAUUGAUGUGGAAUUGAACCCAGAUCAACUUGGAUCUUACAGUGUUAUUAUUGAAAAUUAAAUUCUAAUUUGUAUAUUUUCCUGGAAAACCUAGAUGUAGAGUUACCACAAACAUAGAAUGCUGGUCCAGAAUUUCCAAAAGAAUUGAGUGCAGGGACUCAAAUGGAUGCCUAUGUAUUAGUGUUCACAGAUCAUCAUAAAAAAAAAGAUGUUAACAAGUUAUCUGUCAAUUUAUGAAUAGAUAAAUGAAAUAUAGUAUGCCCAUACAACUGACUCUUAUUCUGUGUUUUUAAAGGUAUGAUGCUGUGAAUAUACUUAACGCCUUAGAAAUAUACAUGUCCUAGAUUAAUUUAUGUCAACUUGACACACGCUAAAGUCAUCUGAGAGGAGGGAACCUCAAUUUAAAAAAAUACUUCCACAAGAUUGAGUCGUAGACAAGCCUGUAAGGCAUUUUCUUAAUUGUGAUUGGUGGGAAGGGCCCAAUGCACUGUGGGUGGUUCUAUCCCUGGGCUGAUGGUCCUGGGUUCUAUAGGAAAGCAGUGAGCAAGCCAUGAUGAACAAGCCAGUAAGCAGCACCCCUCCAUGGCCUCUGCAUCAGCUCCUGCCUCCAGGUUCCUGCUCUGCCUGAGGUCUUGUCCUGACUUCCUUCACUGAUGGACUACGAUAUGGAAGUGUAAGCCAACUCAUGCCUUUCCUCCCCAACUUGUUUUUGGUCUUGGUGUUUUAUCACAGCAAUCGAUAUUCUAAGACAACACACUUUAAAACCAUUAACAUUGUUUGUACAUCGCAGGUGCAAUAGAGUUUAAGCACACACAGGAAAAGAAGAUGUUGACUCCGCAGAUGAAAGCACUCGUCCUGGAAGCCUGGUGGCUCCAGUUCUGUCCCCAGAAUCCAUGCAAAAAGCCCAAUACAGCAGCAUUCAUCUGUAACUCCAGCACUCCUGUGUUUCGAUAGGAGGUAGAGACAGGAGAGUCGGUAGGAAACUCGAAGAGCUAGCCUGGAGUAUACAACAUGAUGACAGAAACAGCCAAAGGGACCCUGCCUCAGGAAAAAAAAAAAGGCAGAAGAGAAUCCACUCUGAAAAACCUGUCAUCUGGCCUCCAUGUGUGGUGUGCAUCAUCUCUUACACACAUGCGCAUAUGCACACACACACACACUCUCACUCACACACACUCACAUGCACCUGCACACACUUAAAUCCUUUGUUUAAAAAAUAGUUAAAACGAUAAAACUUAUGCAUAUUUUCCCACAACAACGGUCUGUGAACACAGAGCAAGGAAUGCAUAUUUGAGCUCAGUGCAUGCGGCCAUUGUCUUCCUAUGUGUGCUCAGCGGAAUCCUUGUUGCAGAGGCAUCUCUCUUCCUUAUUCCAGAAGGCUGAGAACUUGCCGUUUACGAGCUUGUCAGUUCUGGUGAGUCUUUCCAUAUCACAGCUGGCAUGCCUGGAGACCCUGCCUUUUACCAUGGAGACCUACAAAUCACAGUCCACCCGAGGAUGAGGACCCCCUUCUUCACUGGAACCAGGGUCAAGGGAGGCCUCCCUUGCCUCACGAUCCCGCCCUUUGGGGUUCUUUAUGGCUACCUCACUGCACUGCAGGGAUGGGGUUUGUUAGCAUUGUGUACCCUGAGUCAAAUGACUUGGCUAAACCAAGGUAAGUCAUUUCUCAUGUCAUGCGGAUCCAUUCCACAGAGAAAAAGCCCUGCACCUUCUGCACUUGAAAGCCAGACUGACGGCCCAGGUUGCCAUGGAGACCAUGGAGGCCACCGGAACUGUUGGCUAGUGGACUCUGUCAUUUUUUAAAUAACUGCUUGUCAAGUCCGGGCGCUAACUACAUCUAGGACAGCUCCAGAGAAGCAACCUCCAGAUGCUCCAAUCUCCUGUCACAAACACAGACACUUCUACUGGACCUGUUCCUUCUGACCUAUCCUCAGACGGUUCCACAGAGCCUGGACAGCAAGGAAACAGCCAACUCUCCUAAGACUGGACAAACAUCCCCCAUACCCAUUCUUCUAGGUUCCCUAGAGACACAUCACCCCAACGACAGCACGAAGCAGCCGGAUAUCACAACAACCCUAUUCCUGCUUUGCCAUCACCUCUUUCUAAUUUUUUUUCUUUUUUAAUUAAACCAAAACAGGGGAAUGUUAGCAUUCUGUCUAAACUCCACCACACAGUUGCCUGGCAACAGCCAGGUAUGCUCCACUGCACAGUUACCUGGCAAGAGCCAGGUAGGCCUGACCCACUAUAAAAGGGGCUGCUUGCCCCCUCCUCUCUCUCUUGUUCUCUUGUUUCUCUCUUGUCCUCUUGGGCUCUUCCCUUCCCUUCCCACUCCCUUUCCUAUUCCCUUCUCCCUGUCUCCAUGUGUUCAUGGCCAACCUCCACUUCUCUACUCUCUUUCCCUCUCUGCCUUUCUCUGCCUCUACUACUCUCUUAACUCCCUUCCCCAUGCCCUGAAAAAACUCUGUUCUAUACGAUAGACAGGGGGUGCCUUGGCAUGGGUCUGCUGAGAUACCCCCUUUCCCCAUACAUCACCACACAUCCAUAGGACAUAUUUCCUCUCUCUUUAUCUUUCUAUAAACACAUCAGGAUUGUAGCAGAUAAAGUUGCUACAGGGAGAGGAAAAGCUAAGAUGAGAGCAGGGAGUUUUCCUGAUGUCUCCAGCGGAACAUGAAAGCUGAAGUUCCUCUGUAGGACAGGGUCUACCCACCAUGCCCACAGAACACCUGACUGCCCAUCACACCAGCUCCCCUAAGGGCUUCCUCUUCAAGCCUGUGACCCUCCUCCACCCACUGAGGCUGACCUUUCCAGGACAGCCAUGACAACCAUUCUCUCUGGAGCAGGUCCCCUGUGGUGAGGGACAUCAGUUUCUACCCACACCUCAUUGAGUAGUUGAAUCCCUUUACAAAGAAUGGCCUUGGGUCCAGGGGGUGGGGGAGAGGUACCUAAUUUUCUUUACUAUAAACACCAGUACCAGCUAGCUAUGGGAAUGGGGGAUCCCCUUAGGAGCACCCUGCUACCUGACUUUGCUUUCAUCUGCCAUAAUUGGUAAGUGUCCAUCUCAGGUUCAAUAGAAUUUAAACACACACAGGAAAGUAUAUUUAAUCAAAUAGCAUAUCAUCUCAUUCCUCCUGCAGGCCUUACAUGGCAGCAGCUUUGACCCUUAUUUCCUGAUUUGCUGGAGGGUCUGCUGGGACAAUGAAGGGCACCCUGCUGUGGCAGCAGUCCUGUGACUUUGCUGGAAGGACACCUGCCUCAGUCCUAGCUUGUCAUGUAUUUCUGGCUCCGGAGAUGGCAUAUAGUUGCUCUCCCUCUCCUCAAGCCCCCACCCCCCUUUGUUACACACAAGUCACGUGGGGGGGGGGAAGAAAGUUCAUUCAGUAAGGGAUAGUGUGACAAUUAGGCAAUUAGCUACCCUCUUGCCUUACACCUAAUUCUUCAAUCCUAUAAUAGGUUGUAAAUGAGUUAAGGAUUUGAAUGGUAAAAGAAAGACAGGAACAAGGCUGGGUCUGUGGUAAAUGACAGCUAUCCCAGCACUUGGAAGGUAGAGAGUUGUGGAUUGGUUCACAAUGCUAUUUGAGUUCAUUCGGCUCCCAAACCUCAAGAAUUUGCAUGUGAACCUCUGAUGGUCCCUGCCCCCAGCUCAUUCUGAUUGGUAAAUAAAGUUGCUGGUGGCCAAUGGUUGGGCAGAGAAACAGAGGCGGCACUUUAGAUUUGGGGGUUGGGGGAGGGAGUUGUAAAAUCGCCAGCCAGGAAAGGCAUAGGAUGUAAGCAUGAGAGCUGCCAGGACAGAGAACCAGCCAUGUAAGAAUCAGGGACUUGCAGCCCCAGGGGCCACUCCCCGACUGGAUCUGGGGUAGCAGAGAUGAGAUAUAAAUUUUAGGAAGUAAUAACUCAGAAAUAUCAGAGGGGAGAGUGUGUUAGCCUCAGGGAAGUGUGGGAGUGGCCCAGCCGUUGAGCUGUUAAGGCAUAUUAAAAAUAAGGGUGUGUGUGUGUGUGUGUGUGUCUUUCAUUUAUGAAUCCAAAACAUUUGGUGGGUGUAGAGGAAGCACACACACCAACCGGGGAGUUUAGAGUGAAUUAACAUUCAACUGCUUCAGUGGACACAAAAGGAUUGGGAGUUCAGUUCUAGUCAGCCUUGGCUUCUCCGGGGCAGCAGGACUGAUGACCAAGACACUGCAGAGGCUCCUCCAGUUUGUAUUCUUUUUUAUUUUUUUAAAGACUUAUUUAUUUAUUUUAUGUAUAUGGGUACACUGUUGCUGUCUUCAGACACACCAGAAGAGGGCAUCAGAUCCCAUUACAGAUGGUUGUGAGACACCAUGUGGUUGCUGGGAAUUGAACUCAGAACCUCUGGAAGAGCAGUCAGUGCUCUUAACCGCUGAGCCACCUCUCCAGCCCCUCCAUCUUGUUUUCUUGCUGAGGUCAUUUCAGAUUUUACUAGGCCCUUAUCUCCUUGAUGGAGAAUCCCAUGGAAAAUUACCCAACUCUAUUCUAGGAACUAAAGGUCAGGAUGUCCUAGCUAACUUAGCUCCUUUAAACUGCUUAUUUCUGCUAAGCCCCCCUGCAGCUGCCAACUGAGUGAGAUAUCAGGACACAAUUUCUGCUUUAAAAACAAAACAAAACAAAACAAAAAGCAGGGCUUGAACAUUCGAG